GGGCCCAGUGCCAGCCACUUAAAACUGCCCCCGUGGCAGUGAGGGGCACCAGAGGCCGGGUCAAGUUAGUUGAGAAGCAGUGACACCCCCAACCACUCCCCAGACAUGCUGGCCCCCAUUUCCUGGCCCCAAGGAGCCACACCUGGACCCGGCCCCAGGAAAGGCAAGGGCACUGGCUGGCAGGAGCCUUCCCUACCACCCUGAUGGCAGAGAAGCAAGAACCCCAGUGAGGAAGCCUCCUGGGGACACAGGACAGCAAGCGGCAGCCCUGGAGACAGAACUCCGCCCCAGAGCUUCCCGACAGAAGACAGAGGUUCCCCGCAGGCCAAUGACAUUUCCUGAAGACACAGGGAGCGCAGAGGCAGAAACGGUCUGUCUGCCGGGGAGCAGUCCCCAAGCUGCCCGCAGCCAGCACCGAGCCUCCAGGUAAGAUUCAGAGACCACCUGGUUCAACUGCCUCCUCUUGCAGAAGAGGACACAGCUGCAGGGAGGAGAAAGCCUGGUGAGAAGUCGAGCCCGCGACUCCAGAGUGGCCUCCUUCGUCUCCUGACCCUAGAGCCCGAGUGUGGAAGAGGCUUUCUCGAGGUGAGUGGAGUAGGAGCACCAUAGACCUCUCUCCUCAGGCAGGCCCUCAUGUGAAGGGGACAGGGGUUGGGACGAGCAUGUCUGCGUGCCCUGCAAGUAUGCACCACUGAGAGGAAGAGUUCCUGGGCCCAGAAUCCCAGGAGAAGUGCCACCCUCCUCCCAGCUCAGCACACUACCUCCUCCUCCAGGCAGCCUUCUCAGCUCCCCCCAAGGGUGGGAACCUCUUUGUCCUCUAGCAUUAGGCUGUCCUUUCUUGGGCUGUCUCUUGUCCCACUUGGAUCCACCCCGUGUCUACCCCAUCAGGGGCAUUUUCCUUCUGCCUCAGCCUGCCCGUGCUCUUCUAGGGCAAGGACAGCAUCAGGUCCAGUCGGUCUCCCCUCGGCACAUACGAGAGGCACUCGGCUUGCUGAACGAACAGGUGAAAUGACUAGGCCUUGUCCCCAAACCGAAGGACCAGCAAGUUGAUCAGGAGAUGAGACACAGAGGUUAAAGUGAGGGUCCUGGGCUGGCUGCUCUGAGUUAGGAACCCAGCUCGGUUCCUAGCUCUGAGUGCUGGGAAAACUCCCUCUCCAUGGAUCUUUGGGGAUGCACAAGGACCAGCGUGAUUAAAACAUAGCAUAAGUCGCCAUUCCCAUUGCAGUCAUCAUCAUUAUGAUUAUUCUAGACACAAAAGGAACAGAACGAGGCAGCCUAUAGCUAGGGGUGCACCAGACUCAAGGGCCACAGAAGAGGAGCAGGCGUAUACCUUCCCCCGUCAAAGGCUGGAUCUCAGCCAUAUCUCUGCAUCAGUUUCCCCUGGAGAAGUGUGCCUCCCAUCUAGUUCCUGCUUCUAAACCCAGGAGAGAUGCUAACUUUGCUGCAAUAUUCUUAACCCAUGGCACGAGAUGGAAAUGGCCCUUAACUCCCCUGGUUCCUGUUCUGUGGCCCUGGAACAGUCCCCUCUCCUUCCUGGUCCUCCAUGUGGAAGCAAUGACAUUCCCCUGCCUGCCUCCCUAGCUGUCCUGAAGAUUAAAUGUGAGCAGACAUUGUUUCCCAAACUCAGUCAUUCAGAUGCCCUCUUUUUUUAUUUUUGCUGUAUCUGCAUAUAAUCAUAAUAUUUUUAAAUGUAAGAUGAGUCCUUUCUAAUACUUAAAUAGAAAUAGCUACUGUAAAUGGGAAACUAUAACAUUGUCCAUACUUAGGAGAUAAAGGUAACAAUAAAUACACUAAAAAUGAAACAACAGAGUUACACUUUAACCUCACACUGUGCCGUGCAAGGCCCCGGCUGGGUGAUAAGCAGGAGCUAGAAA